AGUGAACGCUGGCGGUAGGCCUAACACAUGCAAGUCGAACGGCAGCACAGUAAGAGCUUGCUCUUACGGGUGGCGAGUGGCGGACGGGUGAGGAAUACAUCGGAAUCUACUUUUUCGUGGGGGAUAACGUAGGGAAACUUGCGCUAAUACCGCAUACGACCUACGGGUGAAAGCAGGGGAUCUUCUGACCUUGCGCGAUUGAAUGAGCCGAUGUCGGAUUAGCUAGUUGGCGGGGUAAAGGCCCACCAAGGCGACGAUCCGUAGCUGGUCUGAGAAGAUGAUCAGCCACACUGGAACUGAGACACGGUCCAGACUCCUACGGGAGGCAGCAGUGGGGAAUAUUGGACAAUGGGCGCAAGCCUGAUCCAGCCAUACCGCGUGGGUGAAGAAGGCCUUCGGGUUGUAAAGCCCUUUUGUUGGGAAAGAAAAGCAGCAGGUUAAUACCCCGCUGUUCUGACGGUACCCAAAGAAUAAGCACCGGCUAACUUCGUG
rnacentral:rRNA from 1 species